rnacentral:rRNA from 1 species
GAUGAACGCUGGCGGCGUGCCUAAUACAUGCAAGUCGAGCGAACGGACGAGAAGCUUGCUUCUCUGAUGUUAGCGGCGGACGGGUGAGUAACACGUGGAUAACCUACCUAUAAGACUGGGACAACUUCGGGAAACCGGAGCUAGUACCGGAUAAUAUUUUGAACCGCAUGGUUCAAAAGUGAAAGACGGUCUUGCUGUCACUUAUAGAUGGAUCCGCGCUGCAUUAGCUAGUUGGUAAGGUAACGGCUUACCAAGGCAACGAUGCAUAGCCGACCUGAGAGGGUGAUCGGCCACACUGGAACUGAGACACGGUCCAGACUCCUACGGGAGGCAGCAGUAGGGAAUCUUCCGCAAUGGGCGAAAGCCUGACGGAGCAACGCCGCGUGAGUGAUGAAGGUCUUCGGAUCGUAAAACUCUGUUAUUAGGGAAGAACAUAUGUGUAAGUAACUGUGCACAUCUUGACGGUACCUAAUCAGAAAGCCACGGCUAACUACGUG